AGUGAAAGAGGGGGGGAGGAAGAACACAUGCAAGUCGAACGGCAGCACAGUAAGAGCUUGCUCUUACGGGUGGCGAGUGGCGGACGGGUGAGGAAUACAUCGGAAUCUACUUUUGCUUGGGGGAUAACGUAGGGAAACUUACGCUAAUACCGCAUACGACCUACGGGUGAAAGCAGGGGAUCUUCGGACCUUGCGCGAGUGAAUGAGCCGAGGUCGGAUUAGCUAGUUGGCGGGGUAAAGGCCCACCAAGGCGACGAUCCGUAGCUGGUCUGAGAGGAUGAUCAGCCACACUGGAACUGAGACACGGUCCAGACUCCUACGGGAGGCAGCAGUGGGGAAUAUUGGACAAUGGGCGAAAGCCUGAUCCAGCCAUACCGCGUGGGUGAAGAAGGCCUUCGGGUUGUAAAGCCCUUUUGUUGGGAAAGAAAAGCAGCAGGUUAAUACCCCGCUGUUCUGACGGUACCAAAAGAAUAAGCACCGGCUAACUUCGUG
rnacentral:rRNA from 1 species